rnacentral:tRNA from 1 species
UAGAUUGAAGCCAGUUGAUUAGGGUAUUUAGCUGUUAACUAAAAUUUCGUGGGAUACAAGCCCACCAGUCUAG